rnacentral:ribozyme from 13 species
UUUUUUUUUUUUUUUUUUUUUUUUUUGUGCUUUCAGUUCUUGU